AUGAACGCUGGCGGCGUGCCUAAUACAUGCAAGUCGAGCGAACAGACGAGGAGCUUGCUCCUCUGACGUUAGCGGCGGACGGGUGAGUAACACGUGGAUAACCUACCUAUAAGACUGGGAUAACUUCGGGAAACCGGAGCUAAUACCGGAUAAUAUAUUGAACCGCAUGGUUCAAUAGUGAAAGACGGUUUUGCUGUCACUUAUAGAUGGAUCCGCGCCGCAUUAGCUAGUUGGUAAGGUAAAGGCCUACCAAGGCGACGAUGCGUAACCGGCCUGAGAGGGUGAUCGGCCACACUGGAACUGAGACACGGUCCAGACUCCUACGGGAGGCAGCAGUAGGGAAUCUUGGGCAAUGGGCGAAAGCCUGACCCAGCCAUGCCGCGUGUGUGAAGAAGGUCUUCGGAUCGUAAAGCUCUUUUAUUUGGGAGGAACAGCUGUAUAAUUAUACCUGGAUGUCUUGACGUUACCUACUCAGAAAGCACCGGCUAACUACGUG
rnacentral:rRNA from 1 species